rnacentral:rRNA from 1 species
CAAGUCGAGCGAGGCGGGUAGCAAUACCCAGUCGAGCGGCGAACGGGUGAGUAACGCGUGGAUGACCUACCUUGGGGUGGGGGAUAACUCGGGGAAACUCGAGCUAAUACCGCAUACGAUCGAGAGAUCAAAGGGGCGCAAGUCCCGCCAUGAGAGGGGUCCGCGUACGAUUAGCUAGUUGGUAGGGUAAUGGCCUACCAAGGCGACGAUCGUUAGCCGGCCUGAGAGGGUGAUCGGCCACACUGGAACUGAGACACGGUCCAGACUCCUACGGGAGGCAGCAGUGGGGAAUUUUGCGCAAUGGGGGAAACCCUGACGCAGCAACGCCGCGUGGAGGAUGAAGGUCUUUGGAUUGUAAACUCCUGUCAGCAGGGAAAAAGGCCUCUGGCCACACCAGAGGAUUGAUUGUACCUGCAGAGGAAGCCCCGGCUAACUCUGUGCCAGCAGCCGCGGUAAUACAGAGGGGGCAAGCGUUAUUCGGAAUUAUUGGGCGUAAAGGGCGCGUAGGCGGUCUGACAAGUGGAAGGUGAAAUCCCCGCGCUUAACGUGGGAACUGCCUUCCAAACUGUUUGACUUGAGUCCGGGAGAGGUGAGUGGAAUUCCCAGUGUAGCGGUGAAAUGCGUAGAUAUUGGGAGGAACACCAGUGGCGGAGGCGGCUCACUGGACCGGAACUGACGCUGAGGCGCGAAAGCGUGGGGAGCAAACAGGAUUAGAUACCCUGGUAGUCCACGCCGUAAACGAUGAGUGCUGGGUGUUAAGGGGGUAUCGACCCCUCCUGUGCCGAAGUCAACACAUUAAGCACUCCGCCUGGGGGA